rnacentral:rRNA from 1 species
UACAGAGGUCGCAAGCGUUGUUCGGAUUCAUUGGGCGUAAAGGGUGCGUAGGCGGCCUGGCGCGUCGCGAGUGAAAUCUCCUGGCUCAACUGGGAGGGUGGUCGCGAGACGGCUGGGCUUGAGGCUCGGUGAGGGGCGUGGAAUUCCGGGUGGAGCGGUGAAAUGCGUAGAGAUCCGGAGGAACACCGACGGCGUAGGCAGCGCCCUAGACGAGAACUGACGCUCAGGCACGAAAGCGCGGGGAGCGAACAGG